AGAGUUUGAUUCUGGCUCAGGAUGAACGCUGGCGGCGUGCUUAACACAUGCAAGUCGAACGGAGUUUUAACGGAAGUUUCGGAUGGAAGUUUAAGAACUUAGUGGCGGACGGGUGAGUAACGCGUGGGUAACCUGCCUCAUACAGGGGGAUAACAGUUAGAAAUGACUGCUAAGACCGCAUAAUAUAGCGAAACCGCAUGAUUUUGCUAUCAAAUAUUUAUAGGUAUGAGAUGGGCCCGCGUCUGAUUAGCUAGUUGGUGGGGUAAAAGCCUACCAAGGCGACGAUCAGUAGCCGGCUUGAGAGAGUGACCGGCCACAUUGGGACUGAGACACGGCCCAAACUCCUACGGGAGGCAGCAGUGGGGAAUAUUGGACAAUGGGGGAAACCCUGAUCCAGCGAACCGCCGCGUGAGUGAAGAAGUAUUUCGGUAUGUAAAGCUCUAUCAGCAGGGAAGAUAAUGACAGUACCUGACUAAGAAGCCCCGGCUAACUACGUGCCAGCAGCCGC
rnacentral:rRNA from 1 species